rnacentral:rRNA from 1 species
AGCGAACGCUGGCGGCAGGCCUAACACAUGCAAGUCGAGGGGUAUAGUUCUUCGGAGCUAGAGACCGGCGCACGGGUGCGUAACGCGUAUGCAAUCUACCUUUUGCAGAGGGAUAGCCCAGAGAAAUUUGGAUUAAUACCUCAUAGUAUGUGAGAAUGGCAUCAUUUUCACAUUAAAGUCACAACGGCAAAAGAUGAGCAUGCGUCCCAUUAGCUUGUUGGUAAGGUAACGGCUUACCAAGGCAACGAUGGGUAGGGGUCCUGAGAGGGAGAUCCCCCACACUGGUACUGAGACACGGACCAGACUCCUACGGGAGGCAGCAGUGAGGAAUAUUGGACAAUGGGCGCAAGCCUGAUCCAGCCAUGCCGCGUGCAGGAUGGCGGUCCUAUGGAUUGUAAACUGCUUUUGUACAGGAAGAAACACUGGUUCGUGAACCAGCUUGACGGUACUGUAAGAAUAAGGAUCGGCUAACUCCGUGCCAGCAGCCGCAGUAAUAC